rnacentral:rRNA from 1 species
CUGGUCUUGACAUCCUGGGAAUCCUGUAGAGAUAUGGGAGUGCCGCAAGGAACCCAGAGACAGGUGCUGCAUGGCUGUCGUCAGCUCGUGUCGUGAGAUGUUGGGUUAAGUCCCGCAACGAGCGCAACCCUUGUCCUUAGUUGCCAUCAUUCAGUUGGGCACUCUAAGGAGACCGCCGGUGACGAACCGGAGGAAGGUGGGGAUGACGUCAAGUCAUCAUGGCCUUUAUGACCAGGGCUACACACGUGCUACAAUGGUAGGUACAGAGGGAAGCCAACGCGUGAGCGGGAGCCAAUCCCAGAAAACCUAUCGUAGUCCGGAUUGGAGUCUGCAACUCGGCUCCAUGAAGUCGGAAUCGCUAGUAAUCGCAGAUCAGCAUUGCUGCGGUGAAUA